AGUUUACAUGUGUCUAACGGGACGUGCCCGGCUCAACUGGGAGGAAGGUGGGGACGACGUCAAGUCAGCAUGGCCUUUAUAUCCUGGGCUACACACACGCUACAAUGGUCGGUACAAUGGGUCGCCAAGCCGCGAGGCGGAGCCAAUCCUCCAAAACCGGCCUCAGUUCAGAUUGUAGGCUGCAACUCGCCUGCAUGAAGUUGGAGUUGCUAGUAACCGCGCGUCAGCUAUAGUGCGGUGAAUACGUUCCCGGGGCUU
rnacentral:rRNA from 1 species